rnacentral:rRNA from 1 species
UACGUAGGCAGCGAGCGUUGUUCGGAUUUACUGGGCGUGAAGGGUGUGUAGGCGGUUUUCUAAGUUUGGUGUGAAAUCUCCCGGCUUAACCGGGAGGGUGCGCCGAAAACUGGGAGACUAGAGUGCGGGAUGGGAGAGUAGAAUUCCUGGUGUAGCGGUGAAAUGCGUAGAUAUCAGGAGGAAUACCGGUGGUGUAGACGGCUCUCUGGACCGCAACUGACGCUGAGACACGAAAGCGUGGGUAGCAAACAGG